AAUUCAUUAAAAAAACCUACUUGAUUCCCCAUCCUUGGUUACGCUGUAGUGCAAAAGAAUUCCUGGCUCUUCCUGUUGCACAGCUGACUUCUACCAUUUUGCUGUUGCUUUAAGGAGUUAAGGAACAUGA
ensembl:snoRNA